rnacentral:rRNA from 1 species
UCAAUAAGCGGAGGAAAAGAAACCAACAGGGAUUGCCCCAGUAACGGCGAGUGAAGCGGCAACAGCUCAAAUUUGAAAUCUGGCCCCUAGGGUCCGAGUUGUAAUUUGUAGAGGAUGCUUUUGGUGAGGUGCCGCCCGAGUUCCCUGGAACGGGACGCCACAGAGGGUGAGAGCCCCGUCUGGCUGGCCGCCGAGCCUCUGUAAAGCUCCUUCGACGAGUCGAGUAGUUUGGGAAUGCUGCUCAAAAUGGGAGGUAUAUGUCUUCUAAAGCUAAAUAUUGGCCAGAGACCGAUAGCGCACAAGUAGAGUGAUCGAAAGAUGAAAAGCACCUUGAAAAGAGGGUUAAAUAGUACGUGAAAUUGUUGAAAGGGAAGCGCUUGUGACCAGACUUGGGCGCGGCGGAUCAUCCGGGGUUCUCUCCGGUGCACUUCGCCGCGUCUAGGCCAGCAUCAGUUCGUCGCGGGGGAAAAAGGCUUCGGGAACGUGGCUCCUCCGGGAGUGUUAUAGCCCGUUGCACAAUACCCUGCGGUGGACUGAGGACCGCGCAUCUGCAAGGAUGCUGGCGUAAUGGUCACCAGCGACCCGUCUUGAAACACGGACCAAGGAGUCGUCUUCGUAUGCGAGUGUUCGGGUGUCAAACCCCUACGCGUAAUGAAAGUGAACGCAGGUGAGAGCUUCGGCGCAUCAUCGACCGAUCCUGAUGUUCUCGGAUGGAUUUGAGUAAGAGCAUACGGGGCCGGACCCGAAAGAAGGUGAACUAUGCCUGUAUAGGGUGAAGCCAGAGGAAACUCUGGUGGAGGCUCGCAGCGGUUCUGACGUGCAAAUCGAUCGUCAAAUAUGGGCAUGGGGGGCGAAAGACUAAUCGAACCUUCUAGUAGCUGGUUUCCGCC